GACGAACGCUGGCGGCGUGCUUAACACAUGCAAGUCGAACGGAAAGGCCCUGCUUUUGUGGGGUGCUCGAGUGGCGAACGGGUGAGUAACACGUGAGUAACCUGCCCAUGACUUUGGGAUAACUUCAGGAAACUGGGGCUAAUACCGGAUAGGAGCUCCUGCUGCAUGGUGGGGGUUGGAAAGUUUCGGCGGUUGGGGAUGGACUCGCGGCUUAUCAGCUUGUUGGUGGGGUAGUGGCUUACCAAGGCUUUGACGGGUAGCCGGCCUGAGAGGGUGACCGGCCACAUUGGGACUGAGAUACGGCCCAGACUCCUACGGGAGGUAGCAGUGGGGAAUAUUGCACAAUGGGCGGAAGCCUGAUGCAGCAACGCCGCGUGCGGGAUGACGGCCUUCGGGUUGUAAACCGCUUUCGCCUGUGACGAAGCGUGAGUGACGGUAAUGGGUAAAGAAGCACCGGCUAACUACGUG
rnacentral:rRNA from 1 species